CCUACGGGAUGCUGCAGUGAGGAAUAUUGGUCAAUGGACGAGAGUCUGAACCAGCCAAGUAGCGUGAAGGAUGACUGCCCUAUGGGUUGUAAACUUCUUUUAUAUGGGAAUAAAAUGUUCCACGUGUGGGAUUUUGUAUGUACCAUAUGAAUAAGGAUCGGCUAACUCCGUGCCAGCAGCCGCGGUAAUACGGAGGAUCCGAGCGUUAUCCGGAUUUAUUGGGUUUAAAGGGAGCGUAGGUGGAUUGUUAAGUCAGUUGUGAAAGUUUGCGGCUCAACCGUAAAAUUGCAGUUGAAACUGGCAGUCUUGAGUACAGUAGAGGUGGGCGGAAUUCGUGGUGUAGCGGUGAAAUGCUUAGAUAUCACGAAGAACUCCGAUUGCGAAGGCAGUUCACUGGACUGCAACUGACACUGAGGCUCGAAAGUGUGGGUAUCAAACAGGAUUAGAUACCCGAGUAGU
rnacentral:rRNA from 1 species